AGAGUUUGAUCCUGGCUCAGAUUGAACGCUGGCGGCAUGCCUAACACAUGCAAGUCGCACGCGAAAGGGGGCAACCCCGAGUAGAGUGGCGGACGGGUGCGUAACGCGUAGGAAUAUACCUGGUAGUGGGGGACAACCCGGCGAAAGCCGGGCUAAUACCGCAUACGAUCUACGGAUGAAAGCAGGGGACCGCAAGGCCUUGCGCUAUCAGAUUAGCCUGCGUCGGAUUAGCUAGUUGGUGAGGUAAAGGCUCACCAAGGCAACGAUCCGUAGCUGGUUUGAGAGAACGACCAGCCACACUGGGACUGAGACACGGCCCAGACUCCUACGGGAGGCAGCAGUGGGGAAUAUUGGACAAUGGGGGCAACCCUGAUCCAGCAAUGCCGCGUGUGUGAAGAAGGCCUUCGGGUUGUAAAGCACUUUCGAUGGGGAAAAACAAGCCAGACCUAACACGUCUGGCCCUGAUGGUACCCAGAGAAGAAGCACCGGCUAACUCUGUGCCAGCAGCCGCGGUAAUACAGAGGGUGCAAGCGUUAAUCGGAAUUACUGGGCGUAAAGGGUGCGUAGGUGGUUUGUUAAGUCAGGCGUGAAAUCCCUGGGCUCAACCUGGGAACUGCGUUUGAUACUGGCAGACUCGAGUCUGGUAGAGGGUAGUGGAAUUCCGCAUGUAGCGGUGAAAUGCGUAGAUAUGCGGAGGAACAUCAGUGGCGAAGGCGGCUACCUGGACCAAGACUGACACUGAGGCACGAAAGCGUGGGGAUCAAACAGGAUUAGAUACCCUGGUAGUCCACGCCCUAAACGAUGGGUACUAGACGUUGGGAGGUUUAUCCUCUUGGUGUCGCAGCUAACGCAAUAAGUACCCCGCCUGGGGAGUACGGUCGCAAGAUUAAAACUCAAAGGAAUUGACGG
rnacentral:rRNA from 1 species